rnacentral:rRNA from 1 species
GACAGAGGUGCCGAGCGUUAGGCGGAAUCACUGGGCUUAAAGCGUGUGUAGGCGGGCGGGCAAGUACCUUGUGAAAUCCCACGGCUCAACCGUGGAACGGCUGGGUAUACUGCCUGUCUUGAGCCAACUAGGGGCGAGCGGAACAGACGGUGGAGCGGUGAAAUGCGUAGAGAUCGGAAAGAACACCAACGGCGAAAGCACUCGGCUGGGCCGACACUGACACUGAGAGACGAAAGCUAGGGGAGCGAAUGGG